rnacentral:rRNA from 1 species
CAGUCGCCACGGUAAUACAGAGGGUGCGAGCGUUAAUCGGAUUUACUGGGCGUAAAGCGUGCGUAGGCGGCUUCUUAAGUCGGAUGUGAAAUCCCUGAGCUUAACUUAGAAAUUGCAUUCGAUACUGGGAAGCUAGAGUAUGGGAGAGGAUGGUAGAAUUCCAGGUGUAGCGGUGAAAUGCGUAGAGAUCUGGAGGAAUACCGAUGGCGAAGGCAGCCAUCUGGCCUAAUACUGACGCUGAGGUACGAAAGCAUGGGGAGCAAACAGGAUUAGAUACCCGAGUAGUCCCUGUCUCUUAUAC